rnacentral:misc_RNA from 1 species
GAUGAAGAACGCAGUGAAAUGCGAUAAGUAAUGUGAAUUGCAGAAUUCAGUGAAUCAUCGAAUCUUUGAACGCACAUUGCGCCCACUGGUAUUCCGGUGGGCAUGCCUGUUCGAGCGUCAUUAUCCUCCCUCAAACCCCGGGUUUGGUGUUGGACCCAAGUUGUGUGAACAACUGGUCUCAAAGACAAUGACGGCGUCCGUGGGACCCUCGGUGCAACGAGCUUUUAGGAGCACGCAUCGAGUUGCAAGGACCUUCCGGGCCGGUCUCCUUUACCAUUUUACAAGGUUGACCUCGGAUCAGGUAGGAAUACCCGCUGAACUUAAGCAUAUCAAUAAGCGGAGGA